UACGUAGGGGGCAAGCGUUGUCCGGAUUUAUUGGGCGUAAAGAGCGUGUAGGCGGCCAAGUAAGUCUGCUGUGAAAACUCGAGGCUUAACCUCGAGCUGUCGGCGGAAACUAUUUGGCUAGAGUCCGGAAGAGGAGAAUGGAAUUCCCGGUGUAGCGGUGAAAUGCGCAGAUAUCGGGGAGAACGCCCGUGGCGAAGGCGGUUCUCUGGGACGGUACUGACGCUGAGACGCGAAAGCGUGGGGAGCGAACAGG
rnacentral:rRNA from 1 species